GAUGAAGAAACGCAGCGAAAUGCGAUAAGUAGUGUGAAUUGCAGAAUUCAGUGAAUCAUCGAAUCUUUGAACGCACAUUGCGCCCUUUGGUAUUCCAAAGGGCAUGCCUGUUCGAGCGUCAUUUGUACCCUCAAGCUUUGCUUGGUGUUGGGCGUCUUGUCUCUAGCUUUGCUGGAGACUCGCCUUAAAGUAAUUGGCAGCCGGCCUACUGGUUUCGGAGCGCAGCACAAGUCGCACUCUCUAUCAGCAAAGGUCUAGCAUCCAUUAAGCCUUUUUUUCAACUUUUGACCUCGGAUCAGGUAGGGAUACCCGCUGAACUUAAGCAUAUCAAUAAGCGGAGGA
rnacentral:misc_RNA from 1 species